rnacentral:rRNA from 1 species
UAGGCGGCGGACGGGUGAGUAACACGUGGGUAACCUGCCUGUAAGACUGGGAUAACUCCGGGAAACCGGGGCUAAUACCGGAUGCUUGUUUGAACCGCAUGGUUCAAACAUAAAAGGUGGCUUCGGCUACCACUUACAGAUGGACCCGCGGCGCAUUAGCUAGUUGGUGAGGUAAUGGCUCACCAAGGCAACGAUGCGUAGCCGACCUGAGAGGGUGAUCGGCCACACUGGGACUGAGACACGGCCCAGACUCCUACGGGAGGCAGCAGUAGGGAAUCUUCCGCAAUGGACGAAAGUCUGACGGAGCAACGCCGCGUGAGUGAUGAAGGUUUUCGGAUCGUAAAGCUCUGUUGUUAGGGAAGAACAAGUACCGUUCGAAUAGGGCGGUACCUUGACGGUACCUAACCAGAAAGCCACGGCUAACUACGUGCCAGCAGCCGCGGUAAUACGUAGGUGGCAAGCGUUGUCCGGAAUUAUUGGGCGUAAAGGGCUCGCAGGCGGUUUCUUAAGUCUGAUGUGAAAGCCCCCGGCUCAACCGGGGAGGGUCAUUGGAAACUGGGGAACUUGAGUGCAGAAGAGGAGAGUGGAAUUCCACGUGUAGCGGUGAAAUGCGUAGAGAUGUGGAGGAACACCAGUGGCGAAGGCGACUCUCUGGUCUGUAACUGACGCUGAGGAGCGAAAGCGUGGGGAGCGAACAGGAUUAGAUACCCUGGUAGUCCACGCCGUAAACGAUGAGUGCUAAGUGUUAGGGGGUUUCCGCCCCUUAGUGCUGCAGCUAACGCAUUAAGCACUCCGCCUGGGGAGUACGGUCGCAAGACUGAAACUCAAAGGAAUUGACGGGGGCCCGCACAAGCGGUGGAGCAUGUGGUUUAAUUCGAAGCAACGCGAAGAACCUUACCAGGUCUUGACAUCCUCUGACAAUCCUAGAGAUAGGACGUCCCCUUCGGGGGCAGAGUGACAGGUGGUGCAUGGUUGUCGUCAGCUCGUGUCGUGAGAUGUUGGGUUAAGUCCCGCAACGAGCGCAACCCUUGAUCUUAGUUGCCAGCAUUCAGUUGGGCACUCUAAGGUGACUGCCGGUGACAAACCGGAGGAAGGUGGGGAUGACGUCAAAUCAUCAUGCCCCUUAUGACCUGGGCUACACACGUGCUACAAUGGACAGAACAAAGGGCAGCGAAACCGCGAGGUUAAGCCAAUCCCACAAAUCUGUUCUCAGUUCGGAUCGCAGUCUGCAACUCGACUGCGUGAAGCUGGAAUCGCUAGUAAUCGCGGAUCAGCAUGCCGCGGUGAAUACGUU